CCGUAGUCCGUAGUCCGUAGUCCGUAGUGACCGUAUCUUAAACUCCCUACUGUCUUGGAAUUUAGUCUGAAGAUUACGUCUUGUCUGCUUGUCUAAUUUUUCAUAAUAUUUCUUGACAGAGCUACACCAACAUGUGUACGAGCUGUCAACCUGAGUGUUGAGAACUGUAGUGUUCCCGUAUGAUGGUAAACAUAUCACUUAACAAUCAAAAAGCUAAUUAUGUAUACCUUGGUGAAGGCUCUCCUGUUACCCACCUGAUCAAGCUCCUAGAAUGAGAAGAUGGUUGUGGUGCCUGUUACAAUGAGGUACCUGGGUGCAAGAAAAACUAUUGUCUUAGACAUUCAGGAGACAAAACUCUAAAUAUAACAUUAAAAGAGAUUACCAAGUCCAUGGAGGGCUUUUACAGGUUAUAUCCAUACUGCUUAGGACCUAACCAUAACUGUACCACACACCAACCUUUGAAGAGUUUCAUGCUCUACACUAA